GUCAUGAAAAUGCUUUCAAAGUUACAUCCAACGUAUCGAAUGGUCAUAGCUGAUAAUGAUAAAAAUACCAGAAAGGAGUACCUAGUAGCAGUAGAUAACAAAUAAAACAGAUGAAAUUACUACACAAAAAAAAUUGUUACGACACCAAAAACGCUAGAUACGACACAAAAAACGCUAGUUACGAAAAAACACUUGUUACGACACGGUCCACGAAAAACAGGGUUAAUACAAUUUUGG